rnacentral:lncRNA from 1 species
AGAUUUUGCUGUGGGGCAGUCCUGGGCUGGGUUGGGAAGUCUUCAGACGAGCUCGCCGAAGCCCCCGGAUGGAAAAGUAGCGGCUGGACCUCAAUCGAGCUCUUCGGCUGAGAAAACGACGACCUCAGAUUACGAAUUGUUUCGAGACCCGCGCCUUGAUUGCCCCAAUUUUCUGGCUGGGAGGGUUCCUUGUGCCUGUACUGAUGAGGACGACGACGAGGGAGGGAGCCGAAGCAAGAGGGCCAAGGUGUCUGCUCGUUGCCAGGUCCCCGCUUGCGGAGCUGAUUUGGCUGGUCUCAAGGGUUACCAUCAGCGGCACCGGGUGUGUCUCCAGUGUGCAAAUUCGACCACAGUGAUUUUGCG